rnacentral:rRNA from 1 species
AUUGAACGCUGGCGGCGUGCCUUACACAUGCAAGUCGAACGGUAGAGGAGCAACCCUCGAGAGUGGCGAACGGGCGAGUAAUGCAUCGGAACGUGCCCAGUCGUGGGGGAUAACGUAGCGAAAGCUACGCUAAUACCGCAUACGACCCGAGGGUGAAAGCGGGGGACUCGCAAGGGCCUCGCGCGAUUGGAGCGGCCGAUGUCAGAUUAGGUAGUUGGUGGGGUAAAGGCCUACCAAGCCGACGAUCUGUAGCUGGUCUGAGAGGACGACCAGCCACACUGGGACUGAGACACGGCCCAGACUCCUACAGGAGGCAGCAGUGGGGAAUUUUGGACAAUGGGCGCAAGCCUGAUCCAGCCAUGCCGCGUGCGGGAAGAAGGCCUUCGGGUUGUAAACCGCUUUUGUCAGGGAAGAAAUCUUCUGGGUUAAUACCUCGGGAGGAUGACGGUACCUGGAGAAUAAGCACCGGCUAACUACGUGCCAGCAGCCGCAGUAAGAC